GACGAACCGUGCGAACGUUGUUCGGAAUCACUGGGCUUAAAGGGCGCGUAGGCGGCCGUCCGAGUCCGGGGUGAAAUCUUUCGGCCUAACCGGAAAAGGGCCCUGGAUACUGGACGGCUCGGAGGGGGGUAGGGGCAAGCGGAACUUCCGGUGGAGCGGUGAAAUGCGUUGAUAUCGGAAGGAACGCCGGCGGCGAAAGCGGCUUGCUGGACCCCUCCUGACGCUGAGGCGCGAAAGCCAGGGGAGCGAACGGG
rnacentral:rRNA from 1 species